UGAAAUAAGACCAGGGACUCAAUGCUCUGGAUCAGAGGCCAUGAGCAGGAAGGAAAGAAAGGACUUUGGUUUCUGUCUUAACCCCCAACAAACUCUCCAGAGUGAAACUUAAAAGAAAUAGGAAGAUGUGACAAUGUUUGCUGCACUUGCUUUCACUGACAACAAAUGUGCCAUAUGGGCGAGACUGACUGUGACACUGCAACAUGAUGUCAUGCAUAGGAUUCAAAUUAAGAUCCUGGUCCCCAGGGUUGGCAGGUGAUACCAUUUCACUUCUCCCAGCUCUGCUAACUCCUUAGGGAUUGUGAAGGAAAGAAUUGAGUAUCCCUUCCAACCAGCUGCAUCCUUGAACCCAACAGUGGUAGUUAAGCUUUAGAGGAUCCAUAUCUAAGCAUUGGACGAUUGAAGGGGUGAACUAUGCAUCUGGACCAUCGAAAGGAUAAUAGUCUACUCCUGCUACUGCUUACUCCUUGUGAUGAAUUGGGAAAAUUUAUCUGUACCAUCUAUGUAUUCU